GCAGCAACAGCAGCAGCAGCUGAAGCGGCUUGUGUGGCUUUGAAACCGUGCACUGCCUCCUCGGCUCGAGCCGAGUGUCUCAAAGCCUCUCGGCCAGCUUUUGACGGAAUAACUUCUCAUACAACUAAAUGAAGCGGUUGCCUGUUGUUGUGCCCCAGACUGCUGUGGCUUUCCGCGUCAGAGCAACAACAGAGAUGUAAAGCAAGUUGCACUACCGCAUCUUCCUCUUGAUAUGCUUCUGACAUAACGAGGAGCCAAGAAGUGAGAGAGGCACUGCAGGGGAAGAUGGAAGUCCAAAGUGGUGUCCAACAGCCCGAGCCCUGCCCUCUGGGCUCUCCUCGGUCAGGGGCCAAUCAGCAGAAUGAAGUGGAUGACAGACAGAUGGAUGCCAGUGGCAGGCCUUCCACUGACAACCACAGUAAGGAUGCACAGCAAGCAACCCAAAAAGACGACAAAAAAAGCUGUGAUGCACAAAGUCCUGGGUUCAAAUCCAUUGGCCGCCUGGGACCUUUCUGUGUGGAGGCUGCAUGUUCUCCCUCUGCUUUCGUGGGUCCUCUCCGGGUAUUCCAGCUUCC